UCUUCUCAGUCAUUCAGCAUCACCACCAGCAGCAGAGUGUGUGUGCAGGCAGAGCACAGUGAUGAAAGCACUAAUUCCAACGCAGCUUUACAAACUCGGUUGCACCUGUUCCCACCCACAGCCUCGACAUCCACCAGCCCAACUGUUGCCAUGAGUGCCCUGUUCUCCUCGAGCCCUGAUUUGAACCACUUACCCAGUUGCCCCAGCAACAAUCCCAUACCACACGACACCAUCACAGCGAUGGAUAUCAGCCAUGUGAUCCUGCGGCAUUACAACCACACCGGUGCCCGGCACCAUAGAGCGCACCAGUGCAGUCGCAGAGAGUCUUUAAAGGAGCCUUUACAUUUUUAAAAAUGCUAACAAGCGUUUACCUGUAGGCCUACUUUAGAUACUUUUUCUAAACUCUUAACACAGCAGAACACCUACAUCACACAAUCAACCAAACAGUUAGUUUUCAGUUUGUUCAUUAAAUACUAACCAAUACAAAAAAACCCAACCUUUUUCUACACGCGCUAACUCUACCAAAACACUAGCACGAUUUUUAUUCCAACACUCAAACAUUUUGUCAUUCAAAAUGAGAACAUUGGAUGGCAUCACAACACAACACAAACUUUUAAUCAACCUGUAAUCGCUGGGAUCUUAAUGCUCUGCUGGGGGGCAGUGGAUUUCUUCUAUGUCUCUCUGCUGUUCAGCAUCUUCGUCACCCCUUUUCCAAAACAGUGGCGUGGUUUGGCUUUAAUCGGCUCAUCAGCUCAUCAGGUCAGCUUUGCAGGGUUUUGCAUUUCCAUGGGAACAGGGCUACCCGCUUGAAGGUGUGUCCUGUCUGAUGACGGCUGGUUGUGGGUUGAUGAUGUUUAAAAGCAGUGUCCUCUUCAGCACUGUUUAUUAUUGCACUGUGCUAUGGCUGCUGGUAGCAUCAUCAUCAUCAUGGAUUUUUGGGCUGUUGCAAUGCUUUUGCUUGACAUCUUAAAAACUGGAGACGGGAUGACAAAAUGGAUCAACGUUAGAAAAGAGGAGGAAGACCAAGGAGCUACCAUUUGACAAUGGAGGAGAAUGGCAACAAAAAGAGGAAGAAAAAACAUUGUACUAGUCUCUUCUACAAGAACUCAUUGUUCAGAUGAGAGCCUUCACUUGUCACCAAAAAGCAUUACUUAUCUGGAGCAGACUAUGAUCAACUGAAUGGUGGGAGACUGUUGUGGCACAUUCACAGUGGACAAGUGGCAGAGCAACUUCUGAAUGUCCAAAGAAACUUUUGAGCUCUUCUGCCACAAAGUUGAACCAGGGAGUGUGUGAAGAGACUCCACUCUUCAUGUGUGUUUGCCUGUGCCUGAGCGAGUGGCGACAGCUUUGUGGAAGCUGGCAACGACAUCAGAGUACGCGGUGGAUGGCAAGGUACUGCUCUGAGAUGUGCCAGCUGGAUAUCAGUGCUCAUAAUGCCAGAAUCCUAAGGUAGUCACAUAUCUGGCAGUGUGGCACAUAUGGGCACUUUUCAUCACAUCUUGCUGGUGUUAUCCACAAUUCUUUUGUAAUGAUGCUGGAGUUAAAUUUUCUUUCGGCCUUGCACCAACACUCAGUGGAUUCCCAUCUCCUUAAGCUUGCUGGCAAUGUCUCGAAAGACCAUCUCAUUUCUGGUUACACCAGCCAGGUCAUCCUGCACGUCUUCUGACUCCAAAAGGCAGGGCUUGUGUUUCUGCCUCUGACCAGUUGCUUGCCAUACUCUUGUCUCUCUUCUUCAGAUGCAGUUGAAACAGACAAAGUAUCUGCUAUGCAUAGCAUUAGCAGAAGAGGCUAUUUAAACAUGGCUCUGGAAGGUCACUAAAAGCUGACAGUGAAUCAUGACUACGGUCCAUCUCUGGCCAUAUCUGAUAAUUGGAAAAAUGAUCGUCGUGGCAUGGUUUGACUCGGCGCAGCCAAAAGUGAUCAUGGAAAAGGGCACCUGGCUGUCUUCAACUCAUUCCUGAGCCCUAUCAUCUAAAUCUUGGGCAGCAGUGAGAUGAGGAAGGCUAUCGCUGAGCUGCUGUGCUGCUGCUGUGUGAAAGCUGGCCUCUGUCACCCAAAGAAGUCCAGCACCUCGGGGAGCAGGAGGGACAGUCUGAGGAACAGUUAUAACAAAAUCAAUGUGUAUGUGUGAAGCUUCCCCAUAACCACCUUUAUUCUUCUGAGUUUUGGUUUGAAUGUUCAAUGAUUUGCCUGCAGCUACUUGCACUGAUGAUAAAAAACCCAAACUAUCAGACACUUGUUAAUAUCUUAUUUUUUCGUUACCUGACAUUCCUUUUAUUGCACUGCACUUUGACUUUGAC